UACGUAGGGGGCGAGCGUUGUCUGGAUUUAUUGGGCGUAAAGAGCGUGUAGGCGGCCAGGUAGGUCUGCUGUGAAAACUCGAGGCUCAACCUCGAGACGUCGGCGGAAACCAUCUGGCUAGAGUCCGGAAGAGGAGAGUGGAAUUCCUGGUGUAGCGGUGAAAUGCGCAGAUAUCAGGAAGAACACCCGUGGCGAAGGCGGCUCUCUGGGACGGUACUGACGCUGAGACGCGAAAGCGUGGGGAGCGAACAGG
rnacentral:rRNA from 1 species